rnacentral:rRNA from 1 species
UACGUAGGGGGCAAGCGUUGUCCGGAAUCACUGGGCGUAAAGCGCGCGCAGGCGGUCAUCUACGUCUGGGGUGAAAGCCCGGAGCUCAACUCCGGGACUGCCUUGGAUACGGGAUGACUUGAGGAUCGGAGAGGCAAGGGGAAUUCCACGUGUAGCGGUGAAAUGCGUAGAGAUGUGGAGGAACACCUGUGGCGAAGGCGCCUUGCUGGCCGAUUUCUGACGCUGAGGCGCGGAAAGCGUGGGGAGCAAACAGG